rnacentral:rRNA from 1 species
CCUACGGGUGGCAGCAGUGAGGAAUAUUGGUCAAUGGCCGGGAUGCUGAACCAGCCAAGCCGCGUGAGGGAGGACGGCGCAAUGGGUCGCAGACCUCUUUUGCCGGGGGACAAAAGCCCGGACUAGUCCCGGCCUGCGGGUACCCGGAGAACAAGCAUCGGCUAACUCCGUGCCAGCAGCCGCGGUAAUACGGAGGAUGCGAGCGUUAUCCGGAUUCCUUGGGUUUAAAGGGUGCGUAGGCGGUCCUUUAGGCCGGCGGUGAAAUCGCGGGGCUCAACCCCGCCGAGCCGUGGAAACUGGGGGACUUGAGUGGGCCGGAGGUAUGCGGAAUGCGCGGUGUAGCGGUGAAAUGCAUAG